AACGAACGCUGGCGGCACGCCUAACACAUGCAAGUCGAACGAAGCAUAAGAGCUUGCUCUUAUGACUGAGUGGCGCACGGGUGAGUAACACGUGGGAAUCUGCCUAUUGGUGGGGAAUAACUUUUGGAAACGAAAGCUAAUACCGCAUAAGCCCUAAGGGGGAAAGAUUUAUCGCCAAUAGAUGAGCCCGCGCUAGAUUAGCUAGUUGGUGAGGUAAGAGCUCACCAAGGCUACGAUCUAUAGCUGGUCUGAGAGGAUGGUCAGCCACGCUGGGACUGAGACACGGCCCAGACUCCUACGGGAGGCAGCAGUGGGGGAUAUUGGACAAUGGGGGAAACCCUGAUCCAGCGAUGCCGCGUGAGUGAAGAAGGCCUUCGGGUUGUAAAGCUCUUUCAGAGGGGAUGAUAAUGACGGUACCCUCAGAAGAAGCACCGGCUAGCUUCGUGCCAGCCGCCGCCGUAA
rnacentral:rRNA from 1 species